CAGUAGCCGCGGUAAUACGAAGGGUGCAAGCGUUAAUCGGAAUUACUGGGCGUAAAGCGUGCGUAGGCGGUGGUUUAAGUCCGUUGUGAAAGCCCUGGGCUCAACCUGGGAAUUGCAGUGGAUACUGGGUCACUAGAGUGUGGUAGAGGAUAGUGGAAUUUCCGGUGUAGCAGUGAAAUGCGUAGAGAUCGGAAGGAACAUCUGUGGCGAAGGCGACUAUCUGGGCCAACACUGACACUGAGGCACGAAAGCGUGGGGAGUAAACAGGAUUAGAUACCCCAGUAGUCCCUGUCUCUUAUAC
rnacentral:rRNA from 1 species